UACGGGGGGAGCAAGCGUUGUUCGGAUUUACUGGGCGUAAAGGGCGCGUAGGCGGCCACCGCAAGUCGACUGUGAAAUCUCCGGGCUUAACCCGGAAAGGUCAGCCGAUACUGCGGGGCUAGAGUGCAGAAGGGGCAACUGGAAUUCUCGGUGUAGCGGUGAAAUGCGUAGAGAUGUGGAGGAACACCGAUGGCGAAGGCAGCCCCCUGGGUUAACACUGACGCUCAGGCACGAAAGCGUGGGGAGCAAACAGG
rnacentral:rRNA from 1 species